CAGGCAGUGGAGCGUUUUGGGGUGGGGUGACUGCGUACCUUUUGUAUAAUGGGUCAGCGACUUAUAUUCUGUAGCAAGGUUAACCGUAUAGGGGAGCCGCAGGGAAACCGAGUCUUAACUGGGCGUUAAGUUGCAGGGUAUAGACCCGAAACCCGGUGAUCUAGCCAUGGGCAGGUUGAAGGUUGGGUAACACUAACUGGAGGACCGAACCGACUAAUGUUGAAAAAUUAGCGGAUGACUUGUGGCUGGGGGUGAAAGGCCAAUCAAACCGGGAGAUAGCUGGUUCUCCCCGAAAGCUAUUUAGGUAGCGCCUCGUGAAUUCAUCUUCGGGGGUAGAGCACUGUUUCGGCUAGGGGGUCAUCCCGACUUACCAACCCGAUGCAAACUACGAAUACCGAAGAAUGUUAUCACGGGAGACACACGGCGGGUGCUAACGUCCGUCGUGAAGAGGGAAACAACCCAGACCGCCAGCUAAGGUCCCAAAGUCAUGGUUAAGUGGGAAACGAUGUGGGAAGGCCCAGACAGCCAGGAUGUUGGCUUAGAAGCAGCCAUCAUUUAAAGAAAGCGUAAUAGCUCACUGGUCGAGUCGGCCUGCGCGGAAGAUGUAACGGGGCUAAACCAUGCACCGAAGCUGCGGCAGCGACACUAUGUGUUGUUGGGUAGGGGAGCGUUCUGUAAGCCGUUGAAGGUGGCCUGUGAGGGUUGCUGGAGGUAUCAGAAGUGCGAAUGCUGACAUAAGUAACGAUAAUGCGGGUGAAAAACCCGCACGCCGGAAGACCAAGGGUUCCUGUCCAACGUUAAUCGGGGCAGGGUGAGUCGACCCCUAAGGCGAGGCCGAAAGGCGUAGUCGAUGGGAAACAGGUU
rnacentral:rRNA from 1 species